rnacentral:rRNA from 1 species
AUGUUUCUGACCGCUGUUGCUCGACCCAGAUAUGACGCUGAAGGCAAUAUGACAUUCUCCGGUAAAAUUGGUGUAUGGCCCUUUGUGCAAGAGAUUCCCGCUGCUAGAAGAAGCGAAUAUAGAGCAAGAGGGACCAUUGAAAUGAAGUCCGUCAACGUGAACCGACGGGUAAUGAGGAGGUAUAUGAUAGAAAAAGUGGUUCCAGGAAUAAAGGAAGUUUGGCCCGCAGAUGAUACUAAUCCAAUAUUGAUCCAACAAGAUAACGUGAGAACGCACAUUCUUCCCGGUGAUGCAGAGUUUGCAGAAGCUGUGGCUACAACUGGUCUGGACAUUAAAAUAAUAAACCAGCCUCCAAAUUCUCCUGAUCUAAACGCACUUGAUCUUGGAUAUUUCAGAUCCCUUGAGUCUUUGACCGAUUGCAGAGCACCCACGACUAUCAAAGAACUGAUUCAAGGUGUACAGGAAGAAUUUGAUGAGUAUGAUGCCGGGAAACUCAACAGAAUAUUUCUAACACUUCAGACCAUCAUGGUAGAGGUGAUGAACCAUGGAGGAGAAAAUUCAUACAAAAUUCCACAUUUGCGCAAGGAGAGAUUGGAAAGGCAAGGAAUCCUACCGCCUAGGAUUCACUUUCCCCAUGAGGUUUAUGAAAAUGCCAUGGAGAUUCUAGAACAAGAUAUCAUGGAGUAG